rnacentral:rRNA from 1 species
CAGUAGCCGCGGGAAUACGGAGGGUGCAAGCGUUAAUCGGAAUUACCGGGCGUAAAGCGCACGCAGGCGGUUUGUUAAGUCAGAUGUGAAAUCCCCGAGCUUAACUUGGGAACUGCAUUUGAAACUGGCAAGCUAGAGUCUUGUAGAGGGGGGUAGAAUUCCAGGUGUAGCGGUGAAAUGCGUAGAGAUCUGGAGGAAUACCGGUGGCGAAGGCGGCCCCCUGGACAAAGACUGACGCUCAGGUGCGAAAGCGUGGGGAGCAAACAGGAUUAGAUACCCCGGUAGUCCCUGUCUCUUAUAC